rnacentral:lncRNA from 1 species
UCUUGAUCAACUGGUGACCUAAAGUCCUGGAGUAAUGGGUGGCCAAGGUCUCCUAUGCCCCACAAAACUAGAGUGCAAAAUGAAGACAAUUUUGAAAAGCAUGAGACUUGCAUCAGUUAUACUCAGGCAUGCUAUAUCUACAUUGAAUGGAAGUAAUAUGUACCUACUUCGUACUUACUGGAGCUUCUUGGAGAUUAGACUUUCCACAGUUUGAUCCCUGUACUAUCCUAUUCAGUGGUCCAAAUUGGUCUCAUUCAGCAAGACAGAAAUUCACAUUGUUCAAGUGACCAAUACUCUUAGCAUCUGAUAGUAAAAUGAGUUGGAAACUUCUAAACAGAGCACCAAGCCAGAGCAAUGCCUAAGUGACCACAUUUGAAAUGCACAUUGGGAAAAUCUCCUGUUAUUAGCAAUAGUAUCCCUUAGCAAUUGGUAGAUACACAAUAGACAUCAAAAUUGCUUAGCAUAGGUUGAUGGGAUGGCUCAGUGAGUAAAAGCGCUUGCACCCAAGCCUGCUGACCUGACUUUCAUUCCUGGGACUUACAUAGUAAAAAGAGAUCUCACUCUCAAGCUGCCUGCUCACCUCUACACACACCUCAUUGCAUGUGCCUAUCCCUGCCCCCUAAAUAAUAAAACAAUUAAUUACUUAUCCUGACAACUCAAAUAGCUCCUAAUUUCAAAUCAAAUUUAAUAGGAAUUGACUAAUUGCUCUAGGCACAAUUAUCUAUGAAAGUGAAGCUGCUGACUCAGCAGGUCAGGUUUCUAUUCUGCUAUAUAGAAAUAUAACAUCAAAUUUAUUUAAUUUAAUUUAGACUCCAUUUAAUUGAAAUUUCUAGAUAAUGUUAAAAUGGUGUUCAGCCCAUGAUUUUAGUAAUAAUUUUACCUCCCAAACCAUGUAUUCAAUUUUCUAAAUUUACUUAAAUACUUGUCUUUUGUUCUCCAAGAGAAAGGCACAAUAAGUUAUAGGUGAUGGGCAAUAUUUAAAAACCAAGGCAGCGAAUGUCUGUGAUUUUCCUCUGAUAUGCAUGAUAGCCUGGUGUGGUCUAUACAGAAACUUACAUUUCUCCGAUUAAGAAUUGGUCCUGGCCAAGAGGGUACUAUCGUGUAGAUGCCCUGAGCGACUCACCAGUUGUUGUACUUUCUCAUUUAUCAUGGCCUAAUCCUUCCCCACCAUCUCUUUGUUUUCCAUAGCAAAUUUAAGUAUAUUUUAUUUCCUAUUGGCUCCAAACUAAAUAACAGACACAUUGCUUUAGUCCUACCUUGUGCUGCUCUAUUUGUAAUAGAGUAUCGGAGAAGGAGAAAUUUAUAAAGCACAGACUCGUUUAUUUUACAGUUCUAGACAAUGGGUAAUUCUGGUUUAGAGGCUUGCUGCCAGGGAAGCCCCUAUUUCAGUAUCAUCCUGCUGCCGUAUGUAUAAGGGCAAGAAAAUGUGUCCACGUGCUUACCAACCCUUAUUUCAGGACCUCACUCCUGCUAAGAGCAUGAAUCUGUUUGAGAGGAUAGUCUCCUCCUGACUUAACUAUCUCUUAAAGGCCCUAUCUCUCCAAACUGCUGCAUUGAAGGUGACAUUUUC